rnacentral:rRNA from 1 species
GCGACCCCAGGUCAGGCGGGAUUGCCCGCUGAGUUUAA